CUGGCUUAGCAUUUAUCAAAAGUUCCCACAGGUUUAGGGUCCAAAAUGUUGGUGCUGGAAGGGGUCUUCGCAAACCCCUGGUCUGUCUUAUUUUAGAAAGGAGGAAACUAACACACAGUAGACAGCCUCCUCCCGAGUAGAACACUGCAAAGGACCUGCUUCCAGACUUAGCUCUCCUUUGUCUGGGUCCCGGCCCCAUCACCACCCAUGGACCACCUCACAAUUCUGCAUUAACUAGUGAGAGCGGAAAAGAGGCUGAAAAACCCUUUCAACAGCUUGGAAGAAAGCUGCUUUCAGCAAGAAUUACUUCUUUGUCAUUAACAUAAGAUGUGAUGAAGGCCACGGGUGACAUCCAACGCUAGAGCAGCCUUAAUACCUGAUGUGGAAAGAAGUCAGUGUGCCAGCGGGGCUGCUGUUUCGAGGGUUUACCUGUAGCCGGACCGCGUGUUCAUGUUUCCUCUUCAUGUCAUUGAUGUGCCAGGCCACUCGCUGCAUCGUGUCAAUAGCAUCAAGCACCACAUCAUAGCCUUCUGUGUCCUUGUCAAGCCCUUCUCUUUGCUCAGGCAAGAGCCAAUCUACGACAGCUCUCCUCCCCAACUGCCUCCUGAAGCCAGGCUCGUGGAAAUCAAAUAAAACACACAAAAAAAUCUGUUUUUCGUUAAGAUGAUAGCUCUCUGCCUGAAACUGUUCACUGCCCGGAGUGAGGUACUCCCAAGCCCUAUCAGAAUCCGAGCUAAGAUGAAUCUUUUUGCUUGGCUGGUGUCAAUGGGGCUGCGGGCCCAGGAUAUAAAUAUCUCUAAUUCCUCCAAGCAGAUUAGUCAGUUGUAAAGUAUGAAUGUGGAAAAUGUUUCCAUAUGUCCACAGCCUUUUCUGAUAUUCCCCCCCCCUCGACUUAAUAUAUAUACGCCAAAUCCCCAUCCCUUGGAAGGUAUUCAAGUGUGGGCAGA